AUGCCGUGGUGGGGGCAUACUGCGAUGUACUCCUGGAAUCUCUCCCAAGCUUCCGGAAUGGCUUCAUCCGGGAGCUGCUGAAAUCUAGAGAUUUUACCUCAGAGAAC